GAGUAAUGUCUGGGAAACUGCCUGAUGGAGGGGGAUAACUACUGGAAACGGUGGCUAAUACCGCAUAACGUCGCAAGACCAAAGAGGGGGACCUUCGGGCCUCUUGCCAUCAGAUGUGCCCAGAUGGGAUUAGCUUGUUGGUGAGGUAACGGCUCACCAAGGCGACGAUCCCUAGCUGGUCUGAGAGGAUGACCAGCCACACUGGAACUGAGACACGGUCCAGACUCCUACGGGAGGCAGCAGUGGGGAAUAUUGCACAAUGGGCGCAAGCCUGAUGCAGCCAUGCCGCGUGUAUGAAGAAGGCCUUCGGGUUGUAAAGUACUUUCAGCGGGGAG
rnacentral:rRNA from 1 species